UUGUCGCAUUCAGUUCCCACUCGAUCACCUUCUCAAACGGAUCUCUGUUUUUCUGAAUUAAUUAAAACAAUUCAUUUAUUUUAUUUCAAAGAAAAUUGGAAGUUGUAUCAAACAGUUUCAGGUGUUCGACCAAUGUAUUUUCCUGAAGGAUUCAUGAAACUAAAAAAGGCAUGCAACGCUUUUAUUGCAACUAGUAAUUAAUCUUUAGAAUACUUAGACAGUAGAUACAGUCUCCUAACUCGAUUGGCUUAGAAAGGGGUUUCAAGUUCAAUUCUCGGGUCGGGUAAACGCCACGCCAAAUGCGUUUCCAUACUUUUGGAUUUGAGGAUGGGGGGUUGGGGAGUAUUUGAGAUAUUUUUAAUUCAGGUUGUUUAAUUAGAGCGACCUCGUGCCAUUAACUCUGAUUGAUCUAGCAGCCAACCAAAAGGACCACCACCGAAGAUCUACACGACAACUUACUAUGAGCAAAAAGAAGAAGAUAAAGAGAAGAAAAAGAAAGAAGAACAAAUUACAAAAAACCUUGUUAAGCGAAGUUGGUUUGUGACCGUCACUAACGGGCAGUACCUCUAUUUGCUCGUUUUGACGAUCGCAAAAUGAACUCGCUUGACUCUAUUCAACGGUGGAAACUGCGGACAUAAAGACCGGUGGGAAAAAGGACCAGAAAACUUAUGAAUGCAAUUUUUUACUCCCAAACUCACGGGUGUUGUAAGUUUCACGUGUCUGUUUCUUUUAUGUGUAUCUGUUUGUACCGUUAUAGCUUUUAAAUCUAAAUAGAUGAAUUGAUUUUGAUCUUGUUUUGUACAGUGAUUUUAAUUAUGUGAUCUUAAAAUUGUUGAUUGUAAACCACUUAUGCCACAACAGAAAAUCCUUGUGUGGCAAAGAUUUUUCAAAUGUCUCUGAACAGUUCAAAGUUUAUAUGUAUUAGGUUUAUGGAAUAUGUAUAAGACUUUGUCGUAUGUGUUAGGAUAGUAAUAAACUAAUGUGUUGCUUCUGAAAACAAAGAAUUUAUUUUGUUAAUUUCUUAUAAAUACAUCUUAUUUGGGUCACUAUUGUAAAAUACCUCACCGGAAAACAAAGAAACGACAUUCAUUCAUUGUGGGAGAGCCCUGCAUCGGCACGAAUGGGCCAGCUCGACCGGGGUGAUACCACGGCCUUACAGAAAACCGAUGUGAAACAACGCUUGCGUUGUAUGAGUGAGGUUACCGAAGGUCCAAUUACCCCCUUCCCAAUUCUCGAUUUCCCGACCAUCCAGAAAUUUCUAACCCCCAAAAGGCCGGCAACGUAUGUCGUUUCUUUAUUUAUCCACAAAUUCUAAUGGAUUAAAUUUUACUUUUUGUCAUUUUUGCUAACUCUACUUUCCAAUCAUCCUAAUCUUUAAAAAAACUAAAUGCAAACCAAAAACAUCUAUUUUUUUUU